rnacentral:rRNA from 1 species
GACGUAGGAGGCGAGCGUUAUCCGGAUUCACUGGGCGUAAAGCGCAUGUAGGCGGUUCGAUAAGUCCGGUGUUAAAGCCCCUGGCUCAACUGGGGGAGGUCAUUGGAGACUAUAGGACUUGAGGGCAACAGAGGCACGUGGAACUCCCGGUGUAGUGGUGGAAUGCGUAGAGAUCGGGAAGAACACCAGUGGCGAAGGCGACGUGCUGGGUUGCAACUGACGCUGAGAUGCGAAAGUGUGGGGAGCAAACGGG